AGCUGCGUCGAGAUCUUUCGCAAUGGGCGAAGCCUGACGGAGCGACACUGUGUGAAUGAUGAAGGCCUUCGGGUUGUAAAGUUCUUUCGCCUGGGGACAAGAGAGUUCUGCUAAUAGUGUGGAAUGAUUUGAGGGUACUAGGUAAAGAAGCACCGGCUAACUCC
rnacentral:rRNA from 1 species